rnacentral:rRNA from 1 species
UCUGACCGAGCACGCCGCGUGAGUGAAGAAGGUUUUCGGAUCGUAAAACUCUGUUGUUAGAGAAGAACAAGGAUGAGAGUAACUGUUCAUCCCUUGACGGUAUCUAACCAGAAAGCCACGGCUAACUACGUGCCAGCAGCCGCGGUAAUACGUAGGUGGCAAGCGUUGUCCGGAUUUAUUGGGCGUAAAGCGAGCGCAGGCGGUUUCUUAAGUCUGAUGUGAAAGCCCCCGGCUCAACCGGGGAGGGUCAUUGGAAACUGGGAGACUUGAGUGCAGAAGAGGAGAGUGGAAUUCCAUGUGUAGCGGUGAAAUGCGUAGAUAUAUGGAGGAACACCAGUGGCGAAGGCGGCUCUCUGGUCUGUAACUGACGCUGAGGCUCGAAAGCGUGGGGAGCAAACAGGAUUAGAUACC